rnacentral:rRNA from 1 species
CCUACGGGGAGCAGCAGUGAGGAAUAUUGGUCAAUGGGCGGGAGCCUGAACCAGCCAAGUCGCGUGAGGGAAGACGGUCCUAUGGAUUGUAAACCUCUUUAGGCGGGGAGCAAUGCCGGGCACGCGUGCCUGGAGGGAGAGUACCUGCAGAAUAAGCAUCGGCUAAUCCCGUGCCAGCAGCCGCGGUAAUACGGGGGAUGCGAGCGUUACCCGGUUUUAUUGGGUUAAAGGGGGGGGUAGGCGGAUUUUUAGGUCAGCGGUAAAAUGUCCGGGCUCAACCCGGGCCGGCCGUUGAUACUGGGGAUCUUGAGUGGACGAGAGGUAUGCGGAAUGCGUGGUGUAGCGGUGAAAUGCAUAGAUAUCACGCAGAACUCCGAUUGCGAAGGCAGCAUACCGGCGCCCGACUGACGCUGAGGCACGAAAGCGUGGGGAUCGAACAGGAUUAGAUACCCGUGUAGUC